UUUAUCUUUGUAUUGUAGCUAACGCGUUAAGCACUCCGCCUGGGGACUACGGUCGCAAGACUAAAACUCAAAGGAAUUGACGGGGCCUGGUAGUCCACGCUGUAAACUAUGAGUGCUAAAUGUGGGGAUAUUUUAUCUCUGUAUUGUAGCUAACGCGUUAAGCACUCCGCCUGGGGACUACGGUCGCAAGACUAAAACUCAAAGGAAUUGACGGGGACCCGCACAAGCGGUGGAGCAUGUGGUUUAAUUCGAUGCAACGCGAAAAACCUUACCACUUUUUGACAUGAAGGUCGUAUCUUUUCUAACCGGAAGAGUCAGUUUGGCUGGACCUUACACAGGUGCUGCAUGGCUGUCGUCAGCUCGUGUCGUGAGAUGUUGGGUUAAGUCCCGCAACGAGCGUAACCCUUGUCCUUAGUUGCCAACAGGUAAUGCUGGGAACUCUAAGGAAACUGCCAGUGAUAAACUGGAGGAAGGUGAGGAUGAUGUCAAGUCAGCACGGCCCUUAUAAGGUGGGCUACACACGUGCUACAAUGGUAACUACAAUAGGUUGCAAGAUCGCAAGAUUGAGCUAAUCCAUAAAAGUUAUCUCAGUUCGGAUUGUUCUCUGUAACUCGAGAGCAUGAAGCCGGAAUCGCUAGUAAUCGUGGAUCAGCAUGCCACGGUGAAUACGUUCUCGGGUCUUGUACACACUGCCCGUCAUGCCCUGGAAAUUGGUU
rnacentral:rRNA from 1 species